GCCAGCAGCCGCGGUAAUACGUAGGGUGCGAGCGUUAAUCGGAAUUACUGGGCGUAAAGCGUGCGCAGGCGGUUUUGUAAGACAGGCGUGAAAUCCCCGAGCUCAACUUGGGAAUGGCGCUUGUGACUGCAAGGCUAGAGUAUGUCAGAGGGGGGUAGAAUUCCACGUGUAGCAGUGAAAUGCGUAGAGAUGUGGAGGAAUACCGAUGGCGAAGGCAGCCCCCUGGGACGUCACUGACGCUCAUGCACGAAAGCGUGGGGAGCAAACAGGAUUAGAUACCCUGGUAGUCCACGCCCUAAACGAUGUCAACUAGUUGUUGGGGAUUCAUUUCUUCAGUAACGUAGCUAACGCGUGAAGUUGACCGCCUGGGGAGUACGGUCGCAAGAUUAAAACUCAAAGGAAUUGACGGA
rnacentral:rRNA from 1 species